CCUACGGGAGGCAGCAGUAAGGAAUAUUGGUCAAUGGGGGCAACCCUGAACCAGCCAUGCCGCGUGCAGGAUGAAGGCCCUAUGGGUCGUAAACUGCUUUUAUACCGGAGAAAACCCCCGUACGUGUACGGGGUUGAUAGUAUGGUAAGAAUAAGCAUCGGCUAACUUCGUGCCAGCAGCCGCGGUAAGACGAAGGAUGCAAGCGUUAUCCGGAUUCAUUGGGUUUAAAGGGUGCGUAGGCGGACCUGUAAGUCAGUGGUGAAAUCUCUUUGCUUAACAAAGAAACUGCCAUUGAUACUGCAAGUCUAGAGUAUAGAUGACGUUGGCGGAAUAUGACAUGUAGUGGUGAAAUACUUAGAUAUGUCAUAGAACACCGAUUGCGAAGGCAGCUAACGAAACUAUAACUGACGCUGAGGCACGAAAGUGCGGGGAUCAAACAGGAUUAGAUACCCUGGUAGUCCGCACCGUAAACGAUGAUUACUCGUUGUUGGCAAUAUGACCGUCAGCGACCAAGCGAAAGCGAANAGUANACACNGGAGACGCGCGACGAGACGACGAGAGAGUAGCGNGNGAGAGACGACGACGACGACGAGGAGGAGGAGG
rnacentral:rRNA from 1 species